CUGAAAUAAGCCGAGGAGGCCGGCCAGCUCUCCUCAGCCUGGCAGAAACAGCAAGUGGAUGGGAAAGAACCUUGACAACACAAAACUCAUUUACUAAUGGACUGGUUUUGAGUUUCUCUUCUCUGAGUCCGCAAAUCGCCCAGCCUGAGCCCUCGGCUUAUUCAGAUCUCGCGGGGAGCGGAGGCCCGCAGAAGGCAGGUGGACAGCUGCUCCCGCUCGGCGCGGGCCAUCUGAGCUCGGGUUCCCAAGGGUCGAGGGCAUCCGGAAUUUCGGACUAAGCAGAGGAAAAAGAUGAAUGUUGUUACUUCAGYUCGGACUUGGGGAGUCUCCUCACUGCCCCAGGGCGAUGUCGCUAAUUUACUGGAGAAACACCUCUCGAAGCCCUUCCCUUCCAGUUAUGCGAUCUACUGGAUUAAACCGGAGGGUAAAGACUGGCGRAUCCGAGCACCAGGCCUCUGAGGACAAGCACCUCUCUCAGCGCCUGCAAUCACAGCACCCACACAGUCAUCUUCCCAGUUGUCAUUAACAUCUGGGUUAGUACAUCCCGGUUCCUUUUGAAGACAGAUGAAAAGAAGUGGGCAGGGAGGUCUGGAAAACGCCGAAAAAAGGUGGUCCUUCUUGGUGUCUAAUUGCCAUCUCUCUGCUCUCUUGUGAUCCUUGUAAAUUUAUGCUUGCCCUUAUGCGUUUAAGCUAUGCCUUAUAUCCUUAGAGAAAACUCAAUUGCAAAGCACACCCUGUACUCAACAUACCCUUUGUCUUUUAAGAGAUGUUACUGUGCCUACCGACACCCUCACCCCUCGUUUUAAUUGUGCACAUUUGCUCCUGACUUUAAGGUACUGAUUUUUAAAACCCGUUUAAG